rnacentral:rRNA from 1 species
UCUUAUUGCUCUAAAGACACUAACUGCCUCUUAGUGUUUUAAGAGGGCCUGGCUGGUACUUGGAUAGGAGACCACCUGGGAAUACCGAGUGCUGUAUGCA